rnacentral:rRNA from 1 species
AGAGUUUGAUCCUGGCUCAGAACGAACGCUGGCGGCGCGUCUUAAGCAUGCAAGUCGAACGGCAAGAAAGAAGCUUGCUUCUUUCCUAGAGUGGCGGACUGGUGAGUAACGCGUGGGUGACCUGCCCUAAAGAUGGGGAUAGCUAGUAGAAAUAUUAGAUAAUACCGAAUGUGCUCAUUUACAUAAAGGUAGAUGAGGAAAGGGAGCUACGGCUCCGCUUUAGGAUGGGCCCGCGUCCCAUUAGCUAGUUGGUGAGGUAACGGCCCACCAAGGCAACGAUGGGUAUCCGGCCUGAGAGGGUGAACGGACACAUUGGGACUGAGAUACGGCCCAAACUCCUACGGGAGGCAGCAGCUAAGAAUAUUCCGCAAUGGACGAAAGUCUGACGGAGCGACGCCGCGUGGAUGAAGAAGGCUGAAAAGUUGUAAAAUCCUUUUGUUGAUGAAGAAUAAGGGGAAGAGGGAAUGCUUCUCUGAUGACGGUAAUCAGCGAAUAAGCCCCGGCUAAUUACGUGCCAGCAGCCGCGGUAACACGUAAGGGGCGAGCGUUGUUCGGAAUUAUUGGGCGUAAAGGGCAUGUAGGCGGUUAGGUAAGCCUGAUGUGAAAUCUACGAGCUUAACUCGUAAACUGCAUUGGGUACUGCUUGACUUGAAUCACGGAGGGGAAACUGGAAUUCCAAGUGUAGGGGUGGAAUCUGUAGAUAUUUGGAAGAACACCGGUGGCGAAGGCGGGUUUCUGGCCGAUAAUUGACGCUGAGAUGCGAAAGUGUGGGGAUCGAACAGGAUUAGAUACCCUGGUAGUCCACACCGUAAACGAUGUACACUAGGUGUUGGGGCAAGAGCUUCAGUGCCAAAGCAAACGCGAUAAGUGUACCGCCUGGGGAGUAUGCCCGCAAGGGUGAAACUCAAAGGAAUUGACGGGGGCCCGCACAAGCGGUGGAGCAUGUGGUUUAAUUCGAUGAUACGCGAGGAACCUUACCAAGGUUUAAAUGGGAACUGACAGAGGUAGAGAUACCUCCUUCUUCGGACAGUUUUCAAGGUGCUGCAUGGUUGUCGUCAGCUCGUGCCGUGAGGUGUCAGGUUAAGUCCUAUAACGAGCGCAACCCCUGCCAUUAGUUGCUAACGAGUAAGGUCGAGCCCUCUAGUGGGACUGCCGGUGCAAACCGUGAGGAAGGUGGGGAUGACGUCAAAUCAUCACGGCCCUUACAUCUUGGGCUACACACGUGCUACAAUGGUCGUUACAGAGAGCAGCCACUGCGCGAGCAGGAGCGAAUCUAUAAAGACGGUCACAGUUCGGAUCGGAGUCUGCAACUCGACUCCGUGAAGCUGGAAUCGCUAGUAAUCGGAUAUCAGCCAUGAUCCGGUGAAUACGUUCCCGGGCCUUGUACACACCGCCCGUCAAGCCAUGGAAGCUGGGGGUACCUGAAGACGGUCACCGCGAGGAGCUGUUUAGGGUAAAACUAGUGACUGGGGCUAAGUCGUAACAAGGUAGCCGUACCGGAAGGUGCGGCUG